GUGAUUCUUUUUUCAGGUGAUACUUGCUACCAGGUCUUGUCUUCUGGUCUGAAACCCUGACCUCCCUGGAACCUCCUCUCUUCCUGCCUAUUCUGCAGAACUCCUGUUCUGGCACAUACAGACAGGUAAUCAGCUCUUUCCACUGCAUGAGUACAGGAUACUGUGCUUGUAUAUAUUACAUACACUCUGCCAACUAGAGUGCCUGGACCAACUUCAUUUACCUCCAAGUGAAAUGCAAUGGAUGAUCUUCAGUUCAUACCUCCCUCUACUAAGGCCAAAACCUUCCUCCAGAAACUUCCUGAAACUGAGUCACACAAUAGAAAUUCUGCAGGCACAAGGAUCAAAUCCUUUCCAUGAAGCUCUCUACAGAUUUAUCCCAUCAAAAACUCACAGGGCACAUGCCAACCUCAAGCUGUCACUAGCAAGUCCUCUCCAACUUUUCAGGAUCUGGAGG